CCUGGGAACUGCGUUNUGAACUGGGUAGCUAGAGUAUNUCAGAGGGGGGUAGAAUUCCACGUGUAGCAGUGAAAUGCGUAGAGAUGUGGAGGAAUACCGAUGGCGAAGGCAGCCCCCUGGGAUAAUACUGACGUUCAUGCUCGAAAGCGUGGGUAGCAAACAGGAUUAGAUACCCUGGUAGUCCACGCCCUAAACGAUGUCGAUUAGCUGUUGGGCAGCUUGACUGCUUAGUAGCGUAGCUAACGCGUGAAAUCGACCGCCUGGGGAGUACGGUCGCAAGAUUAAAACUCAAAGGAAUUGACGGGGACCCGCACAAGCGGUGGAUGAUGUGGAUUAAUUCGAUGCAACGCGAAGAACCUUACCUGGUCUUGACAUGUACGGAACCUUCCAGAGACGGAAGGGUGCCUUCGGGAGCCGUAACACAGGUGCUGCAUGGCUGUCGUCAGCUCGUGUCGUGAGAUGUUGGGUUAAGUCCCGCAACGAGCGCAACCCUUGUCAUUAGUUGCCAUCAUUCAGUUGGGCACUCUAAUGAGACUGCCGGUGACAAACCGGAGGAAGGUGGGGAUGACGUCAAGUCCUCAUGGCCCUUAUGACCAGGACUUCACACGUCAUACAAUGGUCGGUACAAAGGGUGGCCAAGCCGCGAGGCGGAGCCAAUCUCAUAAAACCGAUCGUAGUCCGGAUUGCACUCUGCAACUCGAGUGCAUGAAGUCGGAAUCGCUAGUAAUCGCAGGUCAGCAUACUGCGGUGAAUACGUUCCCGGGUCUUGUACACACCG
rnacentral:rRNA from 1 species